rnacentral:rRNA from 1 species
AACGAACGCUGGCGGCAGGCCUCAAACAUGCAAGUCUAGGGGGUGUAGCAAUACAUCACCGGCGGACGGGUGCGUAACGCGUGGGAAUCUACCUAUUGGUUCGGAACAACUGAGGGAAACUUCAGCUAAUACCGAAUGUGCCCGUAAGGGGAAAGAUUUAUCGCCAAGGUAUUAGCCCGCGUGGGAUUAGAUAGUUGGUGGGGUAAUGGCCCACCAAGGCUCCGAUCCUUAGCUGUUCUGAGAGGAAGAUCAGCCACACUGGGACUGAGACACGGCCCAGACUCCUACGGGAGGCAGGAGUUGGGAAUCUUGGACAAUGGGGGAAACCCUGAUCCAGCCAUGCCGCGUGAGUUAUGAAGGCCUUCGGGUUGUAAAACUCUUUCGACGGGGGCGAUAAUGACGGUACCCGUAGAAGAAGCUCCGGCUAACUACGUGCCAGCAGCCGCCGUAAUAC